rnacentral:rRNA from 1 species
UUGAGUGGCGAACGGGUGAGUAACACGUGGGUGAUCUACCUUCGAGUGGGGGAUAACGUCCCGAAAGGGACGCUAAUACCGCAUGACGUUCCGGGUUUAAAGACCUGGAAACCAAAGCCGGGGACCGCAAGGCCUGGCGCUUGAAGAGGAGCCCGCGUCCGAUUAGCUAGUUGGCGGGGUAACGGCCCACCAAGGCGACGAUCGGUAGCCGGCCUGAGAGGGCGGACGGCCACACUGGAACUGAGACACGGUCCAGACUCCUACGGGAGGCAGCAGUGGGGAAUUGUUCACAAUGGGCGCAAGCCUGAUGACGCAACGCCGCGUGGGGGAUGAAGGUCUUCGGAUUGUAAACCCCUGUCGAAUGGGACGAAUGGCCGCCGGGCUAAUCACCGGCGGAAUGACGGUACCGUUAAAGGAAGCCACGGCUAACUCUGUGCCAGCAGCCGCGGUAAUACAGAGGUGGCAAGCGUUG